rnacentral:rRNA from 1 species
GGGUUUACUUUUCUCAACAGAGGAGGUUGCGGCAAUAACAGGUCUGUGAUGCCCUCAGAUGUUCCGGGCUGCACACGUGCUACAUUUAGUAGCGCAGUGUGCACAUUAAUAGAGUGAUAGGUUCCGUGGUUUGUACAUUUUAAGGGCUCGUCCUAGUAACCAAAGCUCCACGGGACAUAUCAACCUUCCCCUUACAGGGCGGGUAACCUCUUCGAAGUGCUGGCAUGAUUUCCCUAGUUUUGGCAUUUGAAUCCUUGUCGCAGCAGCCCUGAGACGUAGUGAACGCUGCAAAGUGAUUCCAGUCUUAGGUUUGCGACACAUGCAAUUCCUGGUUGACUCAUCGUGGGGACUGAUUCUUGUAAUUAUUUUUCACGGUUCAACCAGGAAUGCCUUGUACCGGCGGCUCAUUAAACCGCUGGGAAUACGUCCCUGCCCUUUGUACACACCGCCCGCAAAUCUUAC